rnacentral:rRNA from 1 species
GGGACCCGUCUUGAAACACGGACCAAGGAGUCUAGCAUGUGCGCGAGUCAUUGGGAUUUUCACUAAACCUAAAGGCGCAAUGAAAGUGAAGGUCCGCCUUGCGCGGACCGAGGGAGGAUGGACCGUUCCGAGGGACGGUCUCGCACUCCCGGGGCGUCUCGCUCUCAUCGCGAGAAGAGGCGCACCCAGAGCGUACACGCUGGGACCCGAAAGAUGGUGAACUAUGCCUGGUCAGGACGAAGUCAGGGGAAACCCUGAUGGAGGUCCGUAGCGAUUCUGACGUGCAAAUCGAUCGUCGGAACUGGGUAUAGGGGCGAAAGACUAAUCGAACCAUCUAGUAGCUGGUUCCCUCCGAAGUUUCCCUCAGGAUAGCUGGCGCUCGCUUCUCGCGAGUCUCAUUCGGUAAAGCGAAUGAUUAGAGGCAUUGGGGUCGAAACGGCCUCAACCUAUUCUCAAACUUUAAAUGGGUGAGAUCUCCGGCUUGCUUGAACUGUGAAGCCGCGAGAUAUCGGAUCAGAGUGCCAAGUGGGCCACUUUUGGUAAGCAGAACUGGCGCUGUGGGAUGAACCAAACGCAGAGUUAAAGCGCCUAAAUCGACGCUUAUGGGAUACCAUGAAAGGCGUUGGUAACUUAAGACAGCAGGACGGUGGCCAUGGAAGUCGGAAUCCGCUAAGGAGUGUGUAAA